rnacentral:rRNA from 1 species
CCGGACGGCUACACCGGCAUGUUCAUAACCCUUUGUUGUCCGACUCUGUUGCCUCCGGGGCGACCCUGCCUUCGGGCGGGGGCUCCGGGUGGACACUUCAAACUCUUGCGUAACUUUGCAGUCUGAGUAAAUUUAAUUAAUAAAUUAAAACUUUUAACAACGGAUCUCUUGGUUCUGGCAUCGAUGAAGAACGCAGCGAAAUGCGAUAAGUAAUGUGAAUUGCAGAAUUCAGUGAAUCAUCGAAUCUUUGAACGCACAUUGCGCCCCCUGGUAUUCCGGGGGGCAUGCCUGUUCGAGCGUCAUUUCACCACUCAAGCCUCGCUUGGUAUUGGGCAACGCGGUCCGCCGCGUGCCUCAAAUCGACCGGCUGGGUCUUCUGUCCCCUAAGCGUUGUGGAAACUAUUCGCUAAAGGGUGCUCGGGAGGCUACGCCGUAAAACAAACCCAUUUCUAAGGUUGACCUCGGAUCAGGUAGGGAUACCCGCUGAACUUAAGCAUAUCAAUAAGCGGAGGAAUCCAUGCCCCGUAAACCCGGGAUACUGUAACCUUUUGUGUGAAUAUAUUCUCAGAUGACCGGCUUCGGGGGGACUGCGCGAAUCCUAAUCUAGGGAACUUUUGGCUAGGACUGAUUUAAAAUAACCUC